UCUUAGGCAUUUCCUAAGAAAAGCAAAACUGCUAGAAAAACAUCUCAGUUUGGAAGAACAUCAGUGGAUAAGAUAUUGGGACUUAUGACUGAUUAUAGUGUCAAAGUCAAGAAGGUAUCAACACAGGACACAAGCCAUAACCAGGUCAGUAAUGAAAGCUGGCUGAGCAAAAACCCAGAGCAUAAUUUCUCACUGGCUGGCUGCUCCAGAUAGUAAUAGCUUCAGUGCCCUUCAGAGUGGAAUUUUCCUGAGCCUGUGAAGAUGUGUGAGGUGUACCCAGCAGGUAGGAUCCUGAUUGUUACACGAACUGUCCACCUCCAUCCAGAGCCGUGUGGCUUGUAGUGCCUUCUCGUGGCAGAUGCAGAAAAGGGCAACCUGUAUCCAAAAGGUGAAAUCAAUAAAUGCAUGAAAAAAAUGCAUAUGAUAGUUUGAUCUGCAGUAGUUUGAAUCUGAGGAUGCUGAACCUGUGGAUAAGGAGAGCCUACUUUUCUUGGACAAAUGCCCUGUGUCAGAAGAGUGUGGUAAACAGAAGCUCAGCUCCUUCAAGGAUGACAGCCUUGGUUACACCACCAGAUUCCUCUUCAGGACCAAGGACUCAUUUUCCAGCUGGCAGGAAUGUUAGCUACUGACGGCCAUGGCUGAGUUCCUCUUCAGGAAUUAUCCUCCACUUGAGGGGAAUUGCUUUGUUCAGUGUUACACUCCCUCUAUAGUGGCAGCCCACACUGGUUGAUGUGGGGUACAAAGUCCUGGACCUUGUCUUAGAUGGGAUAGUUCUGAAGGGCUAUUCCAGCUCCAGAACUCCUCAUAGGAUUGGCUGAGGUCUCCUCUGCAACUGGAUCACAGUUCAACUUUUUCUUCUGCCCAGUCCUUCUUCUCUCAUCUGUUGCCAGUUUUAUUCGUGAGUGUGUUUCCCAAUAAACCCCCUGCAUGCAAAUCUCAGAGUCUGUUUCCUAGGGAACUCAGCCUAUGUUGGCUAGUGAAAGAAACUUUUAUAUGUAUUUGGAAUAAGCCUUCGGAAGUAUAUACAGGUUAGCUACCUCUACCCUAAGUGAGUGUGAGUGACUAAUGCUAUCCAGUUAUGGAUGAAGGAAAAACUGUAAAAUGGAAUGUCGUUCCAAAGAAUCAAAAUGAUUUGUUAUUCUCAGGAAAAUCCCUUCAUUUGAUCAUGAAUAAAGAUGAAUAGAACUUUUAAGAAUAGAAAGCCCCUUAAAA
rnacentral:lncRNA from 10 species